CCACGUGGGCAAUCUGCGUGCUCGCGAUCAAACGGCUGAGGUCUGUUCCUGCGCGCACGGACGACCUGUAUGUGCUCCCUCCCAAACGCGAUCGAACAGUCAAAUUCAACGCGAUCAGAGAGUCCAAAGUGAAUCGCGAUGGAUGGUUCAGAUUGGAUCGCGAUGAACGGUAUAUAUUUACUCCUUAUUUAAUCGCGAUCAGACGGUCCAGAUCAAAUACGAUGCACGAUCCAGAUCAAAAGCAGAUAGAUAUAAAUAACCUCAUCCGCACCAAACUCUAACCCUAGCCGCCAGAACCCCUCGCCGGAGAAGACGACCCAACCACCAGGGAGCCGACCGC
rnacentral:lncRNA from 1 species